rnacentral:tRNA from 1 species
GAGGAUAUAGUUUAUUUUGAGAAUUUGUAAUUGUAAAUUACAAGGAGGGUGUUCUUG